CCAUCUCCAAUAACUAAAUGACAACAUUCAUUCUUCCUAUCGUCUAUCAAUGCCAAAUGAGAAUGAUCUUUCCAAGUUUUACCUCUGAAAGAAUGGCAAAAAAUUUGAAUAUAGGAUGUAAAUAAAUAGUAAGGUUAGGCAAGUUUCUUAGCUCGUCCGCUCGACGGAGCGCCAUCCUCUUUCUUGGUACCCAGAUGCCUCGGCUUUUCUAGCCCAU